rnacentral:rRNA from 1 species
UGGGGAAUAUUGCGCAAUGGGCGAAAGCCUGACGCAGCGACGCCGCGUGAGGGAUGAAGGUUUUCGGAUCGUAAACCUCUGUCAGAAGGGAAGAAACCGCACUGUGCUAAUCAGCAGUGCCUUGACGGUACCUUCAAAGGAAGCACCGGCUAACUCCGUGCCAGCAGCCGCGGUAAUACGGAGGGUGCAAGCGUUAAUCGGAAUUACUGGGCGUAAAGCGCACGUAGGCUGCUUUGUAAGUCAGGGGUGAAAUCCCACGGCUCAACCGUGGAACUGCCUUUGAUACUGCUUAGCUUGAAUCCGGGAGAGGGUGGCGGAAUUCCAGGUGCAGGAGUGAAAUCCGUAGAUAUCUGGAGGAACAUCAGUGGCGAAGGCGGCCACCUGGACCGGUAUUGACGCUGAGGUGCGAAAGCGUGGGGAGCAAACAGG